CCCGCCCCCCGCGCGCGGCGGGCGGGGCGGGGCCGGCGGCGGGCAUAUCAAUAAGCGGAGGAAAAGAAAAUAACAAUGAUUACCUCAGUAGCGGCGAGUGAAGAGGUAUAAGCCCAAGAUGUUAAUCUGUGUUAAAGACAUAGAAUUGUAAUCUAUGGAAUCAAUCAGAAAGCGGAAGCCUGCCAUAAGUCCCUUGGAACCAGGGUGCCAAAGAGGGUGAAAGCCCCGUCUUCGGUAGGAGUNGCAAGGUGAAGUU
rnacentral:rRNA from 1 species